rnacentral:rRNA from 1 species
ACUCCUACGGGAGGCAGCAGUGGGAAUCUUAGACAAUGGGGCAAGCCCUGAUCUAGCCAUGCCGCGUGAGUGACGAAGGCCUUAGGGUCGUAAAGCUCUUUCGCNGGAGAAGAUAAUGACGGUAUCCAGUAAAGAAACCCCGGCUAACUCCGUGCCAGCAGCCGCGGUAAUACGGAGGGUCCAAGCGUUAUCCGGAAUCACUGGGUUUAAAGGGUGCGUAGGCGGAUAACUAAGUCUAAGGUGAAAGUCUGUGGCUUAACUAUAGAAUUGCCUUGGAUACUGGUUAUCUUGAAUUGGGUUGAGGAUGGCGGAAUGUGACAUGUAGCGGUGAAAUGCAUAGAUAUGUCAUAGAACACCGAUUGCGAAGGCAGCCAUCUGGGCCUUGAUUGACGCUGAGGCACGAAAGCGUGGGGGAGCGAACAGGAUUAGAUACCCU